UACGUAGGGAGCUAGCGUUGUUCGGAAUUACUGGGCGUAAAGCGCGCGUAGGCGGCUCUGCAAGUCAGUUGUGAAAUCCCGGGGCUCAACCUCGGAACUGCCUUUGAUACAGCAAGUCUUGAGUUCGAGAGAGGUGGGUGGAAUUCCUAGUGUAGAGGUGAAAUUCGUAGAUAUUCGCAAGAACACCAGUGGCGAAGGCGGCUCACUGGCCCGAUACUGACGCUGAGGCACGAAAGCGUGGGUAGCAAACAGG
rnacentral:rRNA from 1 species